AUGGCGAUGGCGACCACCUCCUUGUUGUUCCUUGCCUUCUCCACCACGCUGUCCGCCCACUUCAUGUCCGUCAGCUGCUCCAGGCCCCCUGCCACGCGCUCUUUCCAGCCGCUGGACGCCGUGGCCUUCUUCUCCAGCACCGCUUUCGCUUCCAUGGCAGCGGCCGCUGCUUUGGCUUUCUCUUCCUCGAUGCGCCGUAUCACUCCCGCUUCCAGAGGACUUGAGGCUACAUUCAUGGAGUCAUGUGUGAGGAAAGGUUUAGGCAUCUUUGUGCGGGAGGCUAAAUGGAUCUGGGGAAGCUAUAGCUAUGGAGGUCAAGAAAGGAAGAAAGAAUGUUUGCUAUGCAUGGUA
rnacentral:rRNA from 1 species